rnacentral:rRNA from 1 species
UUGGCUAAUACAUGCGCAAAUACUAUAUUAUGUCACUUAACGGUGGAUGAUAAUAUAGUAGUGUUUAUUAGAUACAGAACCAAUACACCUCCUGUAAAGGGGKGUAGAAAAAGGUGAUUCAUAGUAACCGAACGGAUCGCAUAUAAUAUAAUCAUUUCGAUGAUUAU